AAUGUUCUAAAAUGAAGUUUUGUGGAGCCCAGAGAAAAUAUUUUCUGUGUGAUGCAGAACAUAAAAAAUGAGUUUCCUGUGUUGAAGCAUGUCUUAUAAGAGUGAAACCUCAUAAUUAUGUUUUUUGAGCAAUACUUAUUUAAAAAAAAUAAUAAAGAGAAAAUUUUAGGAAGCAGAUACACAACUAGGGAGAAGAGAAGAAAAAACUGAAAAGACCAAGCCAAUGCCAAGGCCUUGGGGAGAGGGGGAGGGUGAUAUGCAGACCUUCCCUGGUAACCAAAGAUGGGCAAACCCCAACCGCUAAGCGGUGAGGCCACUAGCUGGCCCUCAGAUUGGAGAGUACAAAAACUGAGUGACUGACAAGACGGUGAGCGUCGUGGCCCCGUGCACAAACCCACAGAGGGGUAGUUGGUACAUAGGGGACGUGGGGAUGAGGGUCCAGUAGAGCUCCCUGCCCCGUCCAGAGGGAGUGGAGUGGGAGGGGAGCGAACGCGUUGGUGACGCGGGGCGCUCACGUGACGUGGAGCUGCAGAGCAACUCAGCCUUCGGUGCAGUCGUCACUCCCGUCUGGGUACCUGCUCCCAGCUGUUCUGCGCCCGGCGGGCUGGCAUCAGUCCCGAGGAAAGCGGAGCAGGACUGCAGGCCUAGGUGUCAAGUGUCGCGGCGGCGCCCACACGGCGAGAAUCGGGAGAAGGAGGAGACAGCAAGGAUAGGCCCAGGUCGGUGCGGGGGACAGAGUGGGGGUCGGGUGCAGAGCCGAGUUUGAGACCCCCUCCCAUCUACGUCAUCCCCUGUCCCCCAUCCUCCAUUUUGGUGACUGCAGAAGCCUGGGGAUGGAACUGUAGGAAAAUGGUGGGUUUGGAGGGAGGUAAGACAGAGAAGAGAGAGAAGGGGGAGGGUCCGAACUGGAGGCCCCCUAGAGGGCGCACAAGGCUUUUCAGGUAGGAAAAUGAAAUUUUUAAAAACCGUU
rnacentral:lncRNA from 1 species